CUACGGGAUGCUCCAGCAGGGAAUAUUGCACAAUGGACGGAAGUCUGAUGCAGCGACGCCGCGUGGAUGAUGAAGGCCCUCGGGUUGUAAAAUCCUUUUCAGGGGGACGAGGAAGGACGGUACCCUUGGAAUAAGCGUCGGCUAACUACGUGCCAGCAGCCGCGGUAAGACGUAGGACGCAAGCGUUAUCCGGAUUUACUGGGCGUAAAGCGUCUGUAGGCGGAAUGGUAAGUUGGACGUGAAAGCUCCGGGCUCAACCCGGAGAGGUCGUUCAAUACUGCCAAACUAGAGGGCAUCAGAGGAGCGUGGAAUUUCCGGUGUAGCGGUAAAAUGCGCAGAUAUCGGAAGGAACACCAAUGGCGAAGGCAGCGCUCUGGGAUGAACCUGACGCUAAGAGACGAAAGCUAGGGGAGCGAACAGGAUUAGAUACCCCGGUAGUC
rnacentral:rRNA from 1 species